GAGGGAACACGCAUCCCGCGCUCUCUUCAGAAACAAUCUGGGAAGAAAUGCGGUGCGCUGACGUUUCAUUGUUCCUGCUUUAUCCACCUGAUACAGAGUGAAAGUAGCAGUUCCUCCUGAAGGUCAGAGAUUGCAGCAUCUGAGGGCCUCAUCAAAAGAAGACAUAGUUGAUGAAGGCGUUCUGGAGCAGGACCAGAAAGACCACGACCAAGCAGCCUUGAGAUCUUAGGCAGCGUCUCCCUCAGGUCCCUCUCUAUCUCCCCACACAUCCACCAACCACUGGAACACAUCUCCAAAGUUCUGCUGGACCAGCUCAGCUUCCCCUCAGAAGAAGUGCGCCACCUGCCAGAUGAAGGAGCCUUUUGAGAGGCAGCUGGCAUCGUGAUUGGACUGUACUUUGGUCUGUUCCAAUCCAGCUUCAGCUCCAGAGACGGCAGGCGGGACGAGUCAACGGAGGCCGGGUGGACGAAGGCAUGCAGCUGAGUACAAUCCAGAAAACAACAGAGGAGGAGUGCAGCAGCCCAGAGCCAGAACAACCAGAGUAGCAUCGUAUGUCUCUUAGAAAACAUCAUAGUAUAGCCUUUGGUAUGAAAAAACACCAUCAUAUACAUCGUAUAUUGUACAAAUAACAAGUCAAAGGAAAGAGACAUACAUUGUAGAAUUGUAGUAAUUGUGGGCUGACUGAUUUACUGAUUAUCAGUAUUUUAUUUUUUACUGAUUUACGGUAAUAAAUACAUUUAAAAAUGG